GAUGAACGCUGGCGGCGUGCCUAAUACAUGCAAGUCGAGCGAACGGACGAGAAGCUUGCUUCUCUGAUGUUAGCGGCGGACGGGUGAGUAACACGUGGAUAACCUACCUAUAAGACUGGGAUAACUUCGGGAAACCGGAGCUAAUACCGGAUAAUAUUUUGAACCGCAUGGUUCAAAAGUGAAAGACGGUCUUGCUGUCACUUAUAGAUGGAUCCGCGCUGCAUUAGCUAGUUGGUAAGGUAACGGCUUACCAAGGCAACGAUGCAUAGCCGACCUGAGAGGAUGAUCGGCCACACUGGAACUGAGACACGGUCCAGACUCCUACGGGAGGCAGCAGUAGGGAAUCUUCCGCAAUGGGCGAAAGCCUGACGGAGCAACGCCGCGUGAGCGAUGAAGGUCUUCGGAUCGUAAAACCCUGUUAUUAGGGAAGAACAUAUGUGUAAGUAACUGUGCACAUCUUGACGGUACCUAAUCAGAAAGCCACGGCUAACUACGUG
rnacentral:rRNA from 1 species